AUUGAAGCCUAGCGAUAUGUAAGUUAGUGGCGGACGGGUGAGUAACGCGUGGGUAACCUGCCUUUCAGAGGGGGACAACAGUUGGAAACGACUGCUAAUACCGCAUGACAUAUACGGACCGCAUGAUCUGUAUAUCAAAGAUUUAUCGCUGAAAGAUGGACUCGCGUCUGAUUAGCUAGUUGGCGGGGUAACGGCCCACCAAGGCGACGAUCAGUAGCCGGACUGAGAGGUUGAACGGCCACAUUGGGACUGAGACACGGCCCAAACUCC
rnacentral:rRNA from 1 species